rfam:Hymenolepis nana genome assembly, scaffold: HNAJ_contig0000068
UCCACGGCCCUCUUUAGGGCCACACUAAAUCCUAUUGUUAUGAACU